GGCCCGAUAGCUCAGUUGGUAGAGCAAAGGACUGAAAAUCCUUGUGUCGAGGGUUCGAUUCCCCCUUGGGCCA
rnacentral:tRNA from 1 species